UUCGACCACAUCACAUUGAUUGUACCGGAACAACGAUUCCUGUACGAUCAACGAAGUUAAGCAACGUCGAGUUUGGUCAGUACUUAGAUGGAUGACCACUUGGAAAUAACAGAUGCCGUAA